rnacentral:rRNA from 1 species
UACGUAGGGUGCAAGCGUUGUCCGGAAUUAUUGGGCGUAAAGAGCUCGUAGGCGGUUUGUCGCGUCUGCUGUGAAAACUCGGGGCUUAACUCCGGGCCUGCAGUGGGUACGGGCAAACUAGAGUGCGGUAGGGGAGACUGGAAUUCCUGGUGUAGCGGUGAAAUGCGCAGAUAUCAGGAGGAACACCAGCGGCGAAGGCGGGUCUCUGGGCCGUAACUGACGCUGAGGAGCGAAAGCGUGGGGAGCGAACAGG